rnacentral:tRNA from 1 species
GGUGGCUCAAUGGUAGAGCGCUUGCCUGGUAUGCAUGAGGCCCUGGGUUCGAUUCCUCAGUACCA